GGCCUUCUCAGGGAGAGGGAGAGUCCAGAAGCAUUUUCCUAAUCGAGAAAUUGCACCUCCAUGCAUAAGAAAAUUAUAACAUGAGCAAACUCUGUAUAUGCCAGUCAAACACCACUUCCAAUGCCAGAGAUACGAUUUUGAGUUGAGCUUUGUGGACUGUUAAAGGGUCGAGAGGCACGAUAGCUCUCUGGCUACCUGGGAACUCAAGGGG
rnacentral:lncRNA from 1 species